rnacentral:misc_RNA from 1 species
CGACCCUCGCCCCCGGCGUCUCGUCGGGGGCGGUGUUGGGGACCGGCCACCACCCUUCACUGGGCGGCCGCCCCCUAAAUUCAGUGGCGACCACGCUGUAGCCUCCCCUGCGUAGUACUAAAACCACCUCGCAGGCGGAGAGCGGUGCGGCCCGCCGUAAAACCCCCCAAACUUUUACAAGG